rnacentral:tRNA from 1 species
GGCGAUAUGGCCGAGCGGUCUAAGGCGCUAGAAUCAGGAACUCAAAUGAGUACUAUCUAGUCCGAAAGGGCGUGGGUUCGAAUCCCACUGUCGUCA